AUUGAACGCUGGCGGCAGGCCUAACACAUGCAAGUCGAGCGUGAAAGUCCUUCGGGAUGAGUAAAGCGGCGGACGGGUGAGUAACGCGUAGGAAUCUACCUAAUAGUGGGGGAUAACGUUUCGAAAGGAACGCUAAUACCGCAUACGUUCUGAGGAAGAAAGCAGGGGAUCGUAAGACCUUGCGCUAUUAGAUGAGCCUGCGUCCGAUUAGCUAGUUGGUGGGGUAAAGGCCUACCAAGGCGACGAUCGGUAACUGGUCUGAGAGGAUGAUCAGUCACACUGGAACUGAGACACGGUCCAGACUCCUACGGGAGGCAGCAGUGGGGAAUAUUGGACAAUGGGGGCGAACCCUGAUCCAGCCAUGCCGCGUGUGUGAAGAAGGCCUUCGGGUUGGUUAAAGACUC
rnacentral:rRNA from 1 species